CUUUGCUGCCGUCGUCACCCAUCUUGUGACCAUCGCAGCUUUUCUAUCUUCUACAAACAAUAAAUCUUCUAUUCUUCUAUCUUCUACACUUCUCUUCUAUUUUCGAUGUCGGGAGGUGAAGACUCUCAACUCGCCGUCGCCGUAAAACCACCACCCAAUCCAUACUCCUUGAGUUCAUCGGAUAACCCUGGAUCUUUGAUCUCCUCCGUGGUCUUGAAGGAAGACAAUUAUCCUGAAUGGGCUACUGAAUUUCGUAACUCUCU
rnacentral:lncRNA from 1 species